AGAGGGUUCAGGGCGGACAGCCGCCACGUGGGCGCAGGAGGAUUUAUAACAUUUCUUCUCGCCAUCGGCAAACUGUGCGACGAGCGGGGACCGCGGGGACGCGAGCGACAGCGCUCGGGCAAGCAGCAAGAGCACUGGACUCACAAGCAGUUGGCUCGGAAGUUCAGGCCAACUUCUGCCAAUGACGGAGCUGUGCGACCUUGAGCAGAUAGCCUGACUUCUCUGCUCCUCCGUGGGCUCCUGUGGACACCGGGCUUAAUGCGUUUUCCCCCUACCGGAAAUCUGAUGGGUUUAUGACAUCAUGGCUGGCUGCUGAGCAAUGAAGUGGAUACCACAAAGAAAUCCGACAUAUCAGAUGGAUUCGGAAAUCACUUUCCCUCCUCCCACAGGCAAGGAGUCAGGAGGAUCUGAGCUUUGAAAAAUGAAAAUCCCAAAUGAAGCCUUGUCCCCAUGUGAAAGACCGUUUUCUUACAAACAAGCAAUGUGUUUGGACAUUGUCGUGUUUUAAUAGAAAGGCUGAGUUUUAUGAAAGAAAAGUGUCUCAUAAACCAGACCCGGAGCUUC